AGUGAACGCUGGCGGCGUGCUUAACACAUGCAAGUCGAACGAGAACGGAUUAUAGCUUGCUAUAAUUGUCAGCUAAGUGGCGCACGGGUGAGUAAUGUAUAGGUAAUAUGCCUCUUACUAAGGGACAACAAAUGGAAACGUUUGCUAAUACCUUAUACUCCUUAUUAACAUAAGUUAAUAAGGGAAAGAUUUAUUGGUAAGAGAUUAGCCUGUAUUGUAUCAGUUAGUUGGUGGGGUAAUGGCUUACAAAGACUAUGACACAUAACUGGUUUGAGAGGAUGAUCAGUCACACUGGAACUGAGACACGGUCCAGACUCCUACGGGAGGCAGCAGUGGGGAAUAUUGCACAAUGGACGAAAGUCUGAUGCAGCAACGCCGCGUGGAGGAUGACACAUUUCGGUGCGUAAACUCCUUUUAUAUGAGAAGAUAAUGACGGUAUUAUAUGAAUAAGCACCGGCUAACUCCGUGCCAGCAGCCGCCGUAA
rnacentral:rRNA from 1 species